rnacentral:rRNA from 1 species
GAGUUUGAUCGUGGCUCAGAUUGAACGCUGGCGGCAGGCCUAACACAUGCAAGUCGAGCGGCAGCGCGGGGCAACCUGGCGGCGAGCGGCGGACGGGUGAGUAACGCGUAGGAAUCUACCCAGUAGCGGGGGAUAGCCCGGGGAAACUCGGAUUAAUACCGCAUACGCCCUAAGGGGGAAAGCAGGGGAUCUUCGGACCUUGCACUAUUGGCAGAGCCUGCGUUGGAUUAGCUAGUUGGUAGGGUAAAGGCCUACCAAGGCAACGAUCCAUAACUGGUCUGAGAGGAUGAUCAGUCACACCGGAACUGAGACACGGUCCGGACUCCUACGGGAGGCAGCAGUGGGGAAUAUUGGACAAUGGGGGCAACCCUGAUCCAGCCAUGCCGCGUGUGUGAAGAAGGCCUUC